GGUCAAGGGAUCCUUUCACUUCAGCCUCUACUGUCUAUAAAAUAGAUUGGUAAAAACCAGCAGACACUCUCUGCGUAGGAUCAUCAUGCCGAGCAUAAACUGGACUUUCCCACUUGCCUGGCAGGAGUCAGACAGAUCCCUGUGUGCUAAAUGAGCAUCUGAGGUUUGAGAUGGGGCCCAAGAUACUUUUCGGACAAGUUUCCUGGUGAUGCAAUAUUGC